rnacentral:rRNA from 1 species
CGCGUAGGUGGCCACCAUAAGGCCGCGGUGAAAGUUCGGGGCUCAACCCUGAAUCGGCCGCGGCGACUGUGGGGCUAGGGCACCGUAGAGGCAGAUGGAAUUCCGGGUGUAGCGGUGGAAUGCGUAGAGAUCCGGAAGAACACCAGUGGCGAAGGCGGUCUGCUGGGCGGUGGAUCCGCAAGGGUCCAAUAGCCGACACUGAGGCGCGACAGCGUGGGGAGCAAACAGGAUUAGAUACCCUGGUAGUCCACGCCGUAAACGAUGGGCACUAGGUGCUCCGGGGAGCGACCCUUGGAGUACCGGCGCUAACGCAUGAAGUGCCCCGCCUGGGGAGUACGGCCGCAAGGCUGAA